rnacentral:rRNA from 1 species
GGGGUGGCUGGCCUAACACAUGCAAGUCGAGCGGAAACGAAGAGGUGCUUGCUCCUCUGGCGUCGAGCGGCGGACGGGUGAGUAAUGCUUGGGAAUAUGCCUUAUGGUGGGGGACAACAGUUGGAAACGACUGCUAAUACCGCAUGAUGUCUACGGACCAAAGUGGGGGACCUUCGGGCCUCACGCCAUAAGAUUAGCCCAAGUGGGAUUAGCUAGUUGGUGAGGUAAUGGCUCACCAAGGCGACGAUCCCUAGCUGGUUUGAGAGGAUGAUCAGCCACACUGGGACUGAGACACGGCCCAGACUCCUACGGGAGGCAGCAGUGGGGAAUAUUGCACAAUGGGCGCAAGCCUGAUGCAGCCAUGCCGCGUGUGUGAAGAAGGCCUUCGGGUUGUAAAGCACUUUCAGUAAGGAGGAAAGGUUAAGUGUUAAUAGCACUUAGCUGUGACGUUACUUACAGAAGAAGCACCGGCUAAC